UACGUAGGGUGCGAGCGUUAAUCGGAAUUACUGGGCGUAAAGCGUGCGCAGGCGGUUUUGUAAGCCAGAUGUGAAAGCCCCGGGCUUAACCUGGGAAUGGCAUUUGGGACUGCAAGGCUUGAGUGCGGCAGAGGAGACUGGAAUUCCUGGUGUAGCGGUGAAAUGCGCAGAUAUCAGGAGGAACACCGGUGGCGAAGGCGGUUCUCUGGGCCUGUACUGACGCUGAGGAACGAAAGCGUGGGGAGCGAACAGG
rnacentral:rRNA from 1 species